AUACGUAGGGUGCGAGCGUUGUCCGGUAUUACUGGGCGUAAAGAGCUCGUAGGUGGUUUGUCGCGUCGUCUGUGAAAUUCCGGGGCUUAACUCCGGGCGUGCAGGCGAUACGGGCAUAACUUGAGUACUGUAGGGGAGACUGGAAUUCCUGGUGUAGCGGUGAAAUGCGCAGAUAUCAGGAGGAACACCGGUGGCGAAGGCGGGUCUCUGGGCAGUAACUGACGCUGAGGAGCGAAAGCAUGGGUAGCGAACAGGAUUAGAUACCCUGGUAGUCCAUGCCGUAAACGGUGGGCGCUAGGUGUAGGGGUCUUCCACGACUUCUGUGCCGUAGCUAACGCAUUAAGCGCCCCGCCUGGGGAGUACGGCCGCAAGGCUAAAACUCAAAUGAAUUGGCGGGG
rnacentral:rRNA from 1 species